GAAUAUUGGACAAUGGCGGAAACGCUGAUCCAGCCAUCCCGCGUGCAGGACGAAGGCCCUCUGGGUCGUAAACUGCUUUUACUAAGGAAGAAACGAGCGGACUUGUCUGCUCCUGACGGUACUUAGGGAAUAAGCACCGGCUAACUCCGUGCCAGCAGCCGCGGUAAUACGGAGGGUGCAAGCGUUAUCCGGAAGCACUGGGUUUAAAGGGUGCGCAGGCGGCUUGGUAAGUCAGAGGUGAAAGCUCACGGCUCAACCGUGGAACGGCCCCUGAUACUGCCAGGCUUGAAUGGGCGCGAGGCAGGCGGAAUGUGGCAUGUAGCGGUGAAAUGCUUAGAUAUGCCAUAGAACACCGAUUGCGAGGGCAGCCUGCCAGAGCUCUAUUGACGCUCAGGCACGAAUGCGUGGGGAGCGAACAGG
rnacentral:rRNA from 1 species